rnacentral:ribozyme from 13 species
UUUAAAACAUGAGUUGUUUCUUCAAUUUUCUCUUAUAUAUAUGUGUGUAUUCUAGCACACGAAAGACGUGUAUGUAUGGGAUGUAUAUAUGUAUGAAUUUUUAAUCCGCAAAAACAUCCUCCUUAGAUAAAAGUUUUGUACCGGCUUGGAAACGAUUUGGAAGAC